rnacentral:rRNA from 1 species
AACCCAUGUGACCAUACCAAACUGUUGCCUCGGCGGGGUCACGCCCCGGCNNNNNNNNRAGCCCCGGAACCAGGCGCCCGCCGGAGGGACCAACNNNUACUCUUUUCUGUAGUCCCCUCGCGGACGUUAUUUCUUACAGCUCUGAGCAAAAAUUCAAAAUGAAUCAAAACUUUCAACAACGGAUCUCUUGGUUCUGGCAUCGAUGAAGAACGCAGCGAAAUGCGAUAAGUAAUGUGAAUUGCAGAAUUCAGUGAAUCAUCGAAUCUUUGAACGCACAUUGCGCCCGCCAGUAUUCUGGCGGGCAUGCCUGUCCGAGCGUCAUUUCAACCCUCGAACCCCUCCGGGGGGUCGGCGUUGGGGAUCGGGAACCCCUAAGACGGGAUCCCGGCCCCGAAAUACAGUGGCGGUCUCGCCGCAGCCUCUCCUGCGCAGUAGUUUGCACAACUCGCACCGGGAGCGCGGCGCGUCCACGUCCGUAAAACACCCAACUUCUGAAAUGUUGACCUCGGAUCAGGUAGGAAUACCCGCUGAACUUAAGCAUAUCAAUAA